rnacentral:sRNA from 1 species
UUUGUGUGAAAUAGUUCAUAGAUUUUUGUGUAUAUAUAUGUCAAGAGGUGCUCACAGAGGAACUUAUAUUGUACCUGGUAUGCCGCAGUAGCCGUGCCAAAUAAAAAACCUUCAGGGAAACUUGCCCGGCUUAGUUUGUUCGACGGCGGGCAAACAGGUCCAUCUGCAUUUGCUGGAGAGGCGACGAUGGUCAGGAGCAAAAGCAGCCCAAUGAGAGGAAGCUUUUGCAAAACCAUUUUUGUUUGUAAUUCUGAUUUUAUUCAAGAAAAAAUGUUU